rnacentral:rRNA from 1 species
AUGAAUUUUCAUCACGUCCAAAUGGAACACAUAUAUCAUAAUUGCUGGAUUAUUCAAGCUAGGGUCAUGUGGAAGGCUCACAUCAAAGAGAAUGGCAUGGGAAACUUGUACCUUCAGUGCAUACUACUCGAUCGGCAUGGAACAAAGAUUGAAGCGAUUGCAUACAACAGCCAGGCAAUCUGUUUCAACAGCGUGCUAGAAACCGGUAGGACAUAUGAUUUCAAUCGCGUCGGGUUCAACCCCACCGAAAUGCCAGAUGGAAAUUUCUGGUACCUAGCCAUGGACUUUGUCACCACACUAAGUUCUACGACAGAGGUUACGAUGUCGGCGCACCAGAUAACAUCGACAAUUUGCCCACCGUGCUUCCCACAGUUUGGAGAAAUCUUUGAGCUACGGGACAAAACCAUCAUGGAUGUGGUUGCUAUCCUUGCCUACGUUGGUCAGAUAGAAUUUAAGUGGGAUUCAAUAUAUAGGCGCCGCGUCCCUUCCCUCGAGAUUGGCCUCAUGAACUUUCAACGGCAGAUAAUUUUCUUACGUGUACGUGAAGAGCACGUUGGGCCUCAGUUCUUGCAUUUGCAAUGCACUGACAAUUUGUUCGAGAAGUUUGUUGUAACUUACAUACAGGCAUUAUCCUGGGAUAACAACACGCGCAUCCACGCCUCCGCCGACGCAUGCUUGCCCCCAUCCGUCCGAGUCCUCUGGUCCAUGUUCCCUCCAUUUAUGCCGUAUCGAUCCUAA